CACCGCAGAGCGCGUCUUGCACCAGCCCGGUGCGAGUGGUGGUCGCGGGGACUCCCGGGCGGCGGGGUGUGCGUUGGGGUGGCUCAGCCCCCCCGGUGAGUUAGUAGCAGUCAGGGGAAGAAGGCGGCGCUAGGUGAGGCGGAGGCGGGCUCUGAGGAUGGAGCUGCCGCCCAGAGUGAAGAGCCCCGAGCUCGUGGGGCGGGAGCCCCAGCCCCUUGCGCGGUCUGCAGAUGCCCUUCACCUGAUUUAUGUUUAUUCAAAGAAGAAUCUUAACAGUAAAAAGAUCUCCUAUUGAAGAAGAAUGUUCAAGAACUGGGCUCUGGAUUCCAGCAUCUGCCUGGCCUGCUCUGUUGCUGCUUCAUCAAGAGAAGUCACUGUGCUGAGCAACUCCUAUCCUAUCACAUUACACAGUAUAUGCACCUUAAGAUCCUGAUGAAAAGGCAAAAUGUCCAAGUAAUGUUUAGGGAUAAUUUGUGAGGGCAAGUCCAAGAAACGAUGUGGUCAUCAGGAUGUUAAGCACCAUUUUCUUCUGGAUGAGUUAUCCUGAUGCUUCAUUAUCCUCCUCUUGCCCUGCGGCUGACAUAGAAGACAGUGUUUGAGUCAUCGGAGUUGGCUGUGCUGUGACCCACGCCAUCAGGACAUGGCUUCUGGUCUGUGCCUACUGGGGUGACGUUUGUCAUGUUGCUGCAUUGGUGCUCUGUGACAAGCAAGAGUCAUUUUUAACAACUUAGUGGUACACGCUCUGUCAUCUCAUCUGGAAUGUUUACUGACUCUGUGUAGUACCCAAAGGAAAUGUUACCAGAGAAUCCAUGAAUCCUGCGGAAGUGAUGGAAAUGAUUGACAGGUAUCCAAAGUGUUGCUGCAUCAAGCCAGAGUGCACUUACCAUUGCUGUAAUUGGAGGAUGUAUUCAGAAAAUGUACCAUCGCUGCCUGUAGGUGAUCAGUUGUGUAGGAGUUUCUUUUUCAAGAUGGUGUUUACACAUCCUGAAUUUAUAAGUUGUUAUAUUUAUAAGUUGUUAUAUUAUAUAUUUAUAUUGUGAGUACUUUUAAGUGUGUUAUUUUUUAAAAAGAUUUCAUUUAUUUAUUCAUGAGAGACACACACACAGAGAGAGAGGCAGAGACACAGACAGAGGAAGAAGCAGGUUACAGUUUCACACUGCCCAAGUGUGUUAUUUUUUACAAUUAAAAACAAACAGGGGGGCAGCCCCGGUGGCGCAGCAUUUUAGCGCCACCUGCAGCCCAGGGCGUGAUCCUGGAGACGCUGAAUCGAGUCCCAUGUCGGG